GCCGGUGUAGAGCAGCUGGUUAGCUCGCCACCCUGUUCAAGGUGGAGGCCGCGGGUUCAAGUCCCGUCACUGGCGC
rnacentral:tRNA from 1 species